rnacentral:lncRNA from 1 species
GGACCAAACAGCCCUGACGCGGGGCCUCGGCUAGGUCGUCCUGUCCCGGCAUCUGUGUGAAUUAAUGAAGACACCUCUUCUUUAUGCAGAAGCUGCCUGCCAAGAGCUCCAACUUGGAAAGGUUUACUGAGCGCUCACUCAGGGGACGUAUGGUGCUGACUCGAGGCAUAUAACCAGAUAGAAGGCUGAACGCCAUGGUUUGCCCCAUAGAGUAGCCGUGGGCAGCAAACUUGGAUUCAUACAGCUGUCCGAGAAAGUUCCUGAUGAAGAAGUGAAUUUAGAUCCACCCUUGAAAAAGAGGAAGGCACAAGGAAGAAAAGUGC